rnacentral:rRNA from 1 species
UGAGGAAUAUUGGUCAAUGGGCGAGAGCCUGAACCAGCCAAGUAGCGUGAAGGAUGACUGCCCUAUGGGUUGUAAACUUCUUUUAUAAAGGAAUAAAGUCGGGUAUGCAUACCCGUUUGCAUGUACUUUAUGAAUAAGGAUCGGCUAACUCCGUGCCAGCAGCCGCGGUAAUACGGAGGAUCCGAGCGUUAUCCGGAUUUAUUGGGUUUAAAGGGAGCGUAGAUGGAUGUUUAAGUCAGUUGUGAAAGUUUGCGGCUCAACCGUAAAAUUGCAGUUGAUACUGGAUAUCUUGAGUGCAGUUGAGGCAGGCGGAAUUCGUGGUGUAGCGGUGAAAUGCUUAGAUAUCACGAAGAACUCCGAUUGCGAAGGCAGCCUGCUAAGCUGCAACUGACAUUGAGGCUCGAAAGUGUGGGUAUCAAACAGGAUUAGAUACCCUGGUAGUCCACACGGUAAACGAUGAAUACUCGCUGUUUGCGAUAUACGGCAAGCGGCCAAGCGAAAGCGUUAAGUAUUCCACCUGGGGAGUACGCCGGCAACGGUGAAACUCAAAGGAAUUGACGGGGGCCCGCACAAGCGGAGGAACAUGUGGUUUAAUUCGAUGAUACGCGAGGAACCUUACCCGGGCUUAAAUUGCAGAUGAAUUACGGUGAAAGCCGUAAGCCGCAAGGCAUCUGUGAAGGUGCUGCAUGGUUGUCGUCAGCUCGUGCCGUGAGGUGUCGGCUUAAGUGCCAUAACGAGCGCAACCCUUGUUGUCAGUUACUAACAGGUUCCGCUGAGGACUCUGACAAGACUGCCAUCGUAAGAUGUGAGGAAGGUGGGGAUGACGUCAAAUCAGCACGGCCCUUACGUCCGGGGCUACACACGUGUUACAAUGGGGGGUACAGAGGGCCGCUACCACGCGAGUGGAUGCCAAUCCCCAAAACCUCUCUCAGUUCGGACUGGAGUCUGCAACCCGACUCCACGAAGCUGGAUUCGCUAGUAAUCGCGCAUCAGCCACGGCGCGGUGAAUACGUUCCC